GUUUUAGCAGAAAAAGAGUAUCAAGAAACUUAUUUCAGAAUAGUCGGGAUUUUAACCCAGAUUGUCUUCCUUUAUGUGCUGCUGGUACUACUGGGACUCAUCAAACAAAUCUUUCUGGGAAAUGUGCACAACUUGGAUUUUCACAAAUAUGUGGUAAAACUGGCAGUGUGGGUUCUGACUUACAAUUCCUAGGGACAACUAGCAGUCAUCAAGAAAAAGGAGAAAAUUCUCAAGAAAAACCUCCAGUUCAGCUUACACCUGCCUUGGUGAGAUCGCCAUCUUCCCGACGAGGUCUAAAUGGGACAAAGCCUGUUCCUCCCAUACCAAGGGGAAUAAGCCUUUUGCCUGAUAAAGCUGAUUUAAGCACAGUGGGACACAAAAAGAAAGAGCCUGAUGAUAUUUGGAAGUGUGAAAAAGAUAGUCUUCCAAUUGAUCUUUCAGAAUUAAAUUUCAAGGAUAAAGAUUUGGAUCAAGAAGAG
rnacentral:lncRNA from 1 species